GUGCUGGCCUCGGCAGCUCAUAUACUACCACUGGAAUGAUACAGAGAUUAGCAUGGCGCCUGUGAGUAUGAUGUGCAAAAUUUGUGAAGCAUUCCAUAUUUUU